AAAGAUUAAGCCAUGCAUGUGUAAGCACAAGCCGAUUGAUGGCAAAGCCGCGAAUGGCUCAUUAUAACAGCCACUGUUCACUUGGUCCUACAUUAUCCAAUUGGAUAACUGUGGAAAUGCUAGAGCUAAUACACGCAACAAUGCUCCGACCUCGCGGGACGAGCGCAUUUAUUAGAACAAAACCAAUCGGGCCUCGCGUCCGUGCUUUGGUCACUCUGAAUAAACUAGCUGAUCGUACGGUCCUUGUACCGACGACGUACCAUACGAGUGUCUGCCUUAUCAACUUUCGAUGGUAGUUUCUGUGCCUACCAUGGUUGUAACGGGUAACGGAGAAUCAGGGUUCGACUCCGGAGAGGGAGCCUGAGAAACGGCUACCACAUCCAAGGAAGGCAGCAGGCGCGCAAAUUAUCCACUCUCAGUACGAGGAGAUAGUGACGAAAAAUAACAAGUCGGUUCUCAAUGAGGCCCGAUAUUGGAAUGGGUACAAUCUAAACCCUUUAACGAGGACCUAUGCGAGGGCAAGUGUGGUGCCAGCAGCCGCGGUAAUUCCAGCUCGCAAGGUGUAUAUCGUCAUUGCUGCGGUUAAAAAGCUCGUAGUUGGAUCUGCGCCUUCGGACCCGGUCCGUCCAAGCGGCGAGAACUGGGCUCCAAGGCUACUCUGCCGGUCUUCGCGCGGUGCUCUUCACCGGGUGCCGCGCGUGGCUGGCGCGUUUACUUUGAAGAAAUUAGAGUGCUCAGAACAAGCGUUUCGCUUGAAUAGUUGUGCAUGGAAUAAUGGAACAGGACCUCGGUCCGUUUUGUUGGUUUCGGAGCUGAGGUAAUGGUUAAGAGGGACGGACGGGGGCAUUCGUAUCGCUGCGUGAGAGGUGAAAUUCUUGGACCGUAGCGAGACGCCCAACUGCGAAAGCAUUUGCCAAGAAUGUCUUCAUUAAUCAAGAACGAAAGUCAGAGGUUCGAAGGCGAUCAGAUACCGCCCUAGUUCU
rnacentral:rRNA from 1 species